rnacentral:rRNA from 1 species
UACGUAGGGUGCAAGCGUUAUCCGGAAUUAUUGGGCGUAAAAGAGCUCGUAGGCGGUUUGUUGCGUCGGCUGUGAAAUCCCGAGGCUCAACCUCGGGUCUGCAGUCGAUACGAGCAAACUAGAGUGUUGCAGGGGAGACUGGAAUUCCUGGUGUAGCGGUGAAAUGCGCAGAUAUCAGGAGGAACACCGGUGGCGAAGGCGGGUCUCUGGGCAACAACUGACGCUGAGGAGCGAAAGCGUGGGAGCGAACAGG